GAUGAACGCUGGCGGCGUGCUUAACACAUGCAAGUCGAACGGACCAGAUUCGUCUGGUUAGUGGCAGACGGGUGCGUAACACGUGGGCGACCUGCCCUUAAGUGGGGAACAACGCGACUAACGUCGCGCUAAUACCGCAUAUGUUCGCUCAUUCGGUUGGGCGAGUAAAGCAGCAAUGCGCUUAGGGAUGGGCCUGCGGCGGAUUAGGUAGUUGGUGGGGUAACGGCCUACCAAGCCGAUGAUCCGUAGGGGGCGUGAGAGCGUGGCCCCCCACAUUGGCACUGAGACACGGGCCAAACUCCUACGGGAGGCAGCAGUGAGGAAUAUUGCGCAAUGGGCGAAAGCCUGACGCAGCAACGCCGCGUGAAGGACGAAGGCCUUCGGGUCGUAAACUUCUUUUCUGGGGGACGAGAGAGGACGGUACCUCAGGAAUAAGUCUCGGCUAACUACGUG
rnacentral:rRNA from 1 species